GUUCAACUGUCAUUAAUUGAGUUCACUCAUUAAAGUCUAGAGGAGAACUACUACCAAGAAGUACACUGAUAAAUGUUUGGAAGACGAGUAUCUAGACUGAUGCCACAAGUGUUAAGAAAUUAAUCAAAUUUUCCAAUGACAAAUUAAUAUCAAUUACUAAAAUUUGAAUAAAGUUUGUAUACAAAAUAAAGAGCAAUGAUAUUCAAGCAGAAAAUAUCAAACUAAGAAAAAAUACCAACAUUGAGCGUGUAGCAGCAUCGAGCAUUAAAGAGUUGGCUCACAUUCUCCUUACAAAGGAACAUGAUUCUUUCAAAUACAUUCUGACAUACAAAAUGUCCCAAGACCACCUUGAGCUGCUGUUUGCAUGCAUACGUGGUAAGAAUGGCUUCAACAAUAAUCCAGAUAUUGUACAAUUUAA